rnacentral:rRNA from 1 species
CAGUCGCCACGGUAAAACAGAACAUGCAAGCGUUAUCCGGAAUGAUUGGGCGUAAAGCGUCUGUAGGUGGCUUUUCAAGCCCGCCGUCAAAUCCCCGGGCACAACCCUGGACAGGAAAUGGAAACUACCAAGCUGGAGUACGGUAGGAGCAGAGGGAAUUUCCGGUGGAGCGGUGAAAUGCGUUGAGAUCGAAAAGAACACCAACGGCGAAAGCACUCUGCUGGGCCGACACUGACACUGAGAGAUGAAAGCUAGGGGAGCAAAUGGGAUUAGAUACCCGCGUAGUCCCUGUCUCUUAUAC